AUAUAUACAUCCUUUGAUAUGUUGAUGGAAUAUAAGAGAAUUUAUUAUUAAUCGCGACAAUUGUUUAGACGCAUCUAGCAUUGAUUCCUUAUGGGUGGAAACACUCAACAACUGGUUCAGGAGCAUCCAGUGGUGAAGAUGUAUCUCGUCGGGUGAUAAAUAGAUACAACCCGUUAAAAUGACUGUGCCGCAAUGUAACUUUCCGUUUUUGUAGAGAGAGAAGCAGCCAGACGGAGAAAAUAUCUUCAUUUAUAUAGAAAAUCAAAAAUAAAAUCACAAAGGGGAAAAAGAGAGAAACGAACACGUAAUACAG